AUACGUAGGGUGCGAGCGUUGUCCGGAAUUACUGGGCGUAAAGAGCUCGUAGGUGGUUUGUCGCGUCGUCUGUGAAAUUCCGGGGCUUAACUCCGGGCGUGCAGGCGAUACGGGCAUAACUUGAGUACUGUAGGGGAGACUGGAAUUCCUGGUGUAGCGGUGAAAUUCGCAGAUAUCAGGAGGAACACCGGUGGCGAAGGCGGGUCUCUGGGCAGUAACUGACGCUGAGGAGCGAAAGCAUGGGUAGCGAACAGGAUUAGAUACCCUGGUAGUCCAUGCCGUAAACGGUGGGCGCUAGGUGUAGGGGUCUUCCACGACUUCUGUGCCGUAGCUAACGCAUUAAGCGCCCCGCCUGGGGAGUACGGCCGCAAGGCUAAAACUCAAAUGAAUUGACGGGG
rnacentral:rRNA from 1 species